rnacentral:lncRNA from 10 species
GUCACAAAAAUAGGGUAGCUUCAAAACUUAAAUUCUUGGAAUUUUAGUUUCUGUUGCAUCUGAUGAAACGUGAAAAGGGACUUGUGUUGUGUAUGGACUUUGUAAAAUGAUCUUCUAUCUCUUGGUGCAAAUCAAUUACUUAUUAGUUUUUAUUGCCAAGGAAAGGAAAAUAUAUUACCAUUCAUUUUAGUCUUUUUCUUAUCGAUUCUGUGAGCACAGUGAUAGUUGUUUAAAGAAAAAUGAUUACAUUUAUUUGUUCACUACAAAAGACCUAUACCACAUUAUAGAAAAUUCAAAAAGGGAAAAAUCAGAAGAAAAAAGAGCUUUCCACACUAGUCAGCAACUGUUGGUGUUUAAGUGUUCUUUCAUUUUUCUUCUGAAUAUUUUUGCAUCGAGUAUUGCAUUUUCACUAAACACUAAGUAAUAAACAUUUACCAUAUUCGUACAUGGAUUUUAUAAUGAUUUUGAAUUGUAGAAUAAUAUUCCCAUGAGGGACAUCUGGUUCCUUUGACCAUUUUCCUACUCUUGUCUUGUUAGAAGGCAGCAGAGCAGGGUUUCCAUGGGAUGUGGUACCAGGGCUGGGUUGAGACGUGGCUCUCUCAUUUCCUAGCAGUGUGACCUCGGUUAGGCCACUGAAUCUCUCCAGGCCUAGAUGUCCUCAUCUAGGAAAAUACAGGCUAUAUUAGUUCCAAUCUCGUCAGGUCAUUGUGAAGACUACAUGAGAUCAUGUACGUAGAAAGCUCACGAGUAUCUGGAACGUCGUCGAGUUUGCUGAUGUUAGUGGCUGCUGCUACGUAGCCUACAUUCCAAUCUGACGACUGGUUUGAUUUUUAUAAACAUCCUCCAAGAAAAUGCACGUGGAAUACCAGGCCAUGUCAUUUCAUCUCUCAUGUCACUUUAUCUUUUGAGAUCCUCAUUUGCAAAGUGAGAUGGUCAGACUAUACAGUGUGACCCCAAAGGCCCCCUUCCACCUCCAACGACGGUGAUUCUUGGCUUAUGCUAAAAGCAGCUAUAACCACUGCAGGGAAAUGACCUAUGGAAACCACAGCCUUGCCCAUGAAGAAGGAAACCUGCAAGGGCCUGAGGGCUUGUGCACAUCAGUUUAUCUUUUAGUCCAGAUAAACAUUUGACAUUUGUUCCGACACCUUCCUUCCAAGGGCUUCUCACAGUUCAGUCUGUGUGCUUCUCAGAUCUCCAUUUUUCAAAUGGGUUCAGCAGCCGGUGCGCUCAUCCAAAGUUUUAUUUAUCCAUUCCACAUUUCUAAUGUCGCUUCGCUGCUGUGAUCAUUUUCCUUUACUACUGAGACAAAAUUGGUCCUCUUAAAAUCAUCAGGGGCCUGUUCUCUGUCUUCCUCUGUUUGCCUCUGUGGAGGGCUGGACACUGCGGAGCAAUCCUUCUUUCCUUUCCUGGAACUGUUUUCGGCAGUAGCUUCUCUUUUUACUGCUACUUUGUUGCCUCCUCUUUUUCCAGGAUCUGGCCGUCUCCCCCA